CCUCUGUGGAGUCUUUCCUGCAAACCUGGAUCGUUGGAUACAGAUUAUCCCUGGAUUGCUGCAUCUUCAGGAACUGAAGCCAGUGGGGCCCACAUCUCCGACUGUGCCAUGGAGCUUGCUUUUUCAGCACCAGCCCUGUGAAACUAACACAGAACAGGAUUACAGAGCUGAGCAAGUGAAGAAGGAGUCAGAGGACUGGACUCUCCAUUUACCAGCACCACAAAGAUGAUAAAACUCUACAGAAACCAGAGCCACUGUGGUUUCUGACUACCAUGUUGUUUUCUGAGCGGUAAUCCCAACCCAACUAGAAACCCUUGAUGGCAUGCCUGUGGUUUUCACAAAGAGCUGCCCCCCAUCCCAAGAGAUGUGUGCCCUGCAGGCCUGCGGCUGGCCACAUGAGAUGCAGCAUGCUUAACGCCUGGCGCUGCUGGUGGCUGUCACCCCUCUAACUCCUCCCAGGAAGGCACCCAGGGAGUCUCUCUCACACAUAUUGAUCAACCACAGGCAUGAGAUAACCAAAAAUGCAAAUAUUGCCCCAGUGUGGUCUUAAGUCAAUAUUUUGAGCUGCUGCCUGGCCUGUUUGAUGACAGCCAGAGGUUGGAGGUCACCUACCUGUUGAUGGUGGCACUGGGAGUACAGGAGGCAGGAUCAGCAAUCAUCCAUGCUACUGUUCAACUGGGUUUGUUUGCUGAUCGAGUCUGUCAGCUACAAAAACUCAUUCCGGUCUCUCCUCUGGGAGCUUUCUGCUGAUACAGAAAGAAGGGACGUAGAAAACCCCAGUUCUUCUUACCAACAGCUCCUAUCUUUAGUUCUUCUGAAAUGUCUUUUGCCCUUCUUGAAAACUUCUGGGAGAUAACGGGAAUAAAUCCAGAGGGUUUGUCACUGAACCCAAAAGGUAGUAGGAUUUGGUGCUAAACAGAACAGCUUGUGUCCACUACAUCGGAGAGAGAGGCUAUUUGCGUAAAGCUUUGCAAAGUCUGUGCUGCUGCUCUGCUCCGCAAAGGAAGCCUGGCAUCUAGUGGACGUUUUGCUGUUGCAUCACUUUCAUCUUUCUGCUUAGCAGAGCUGACAGCUAGCUACCUAUAUAAAACCUAUACAGAAUUGAGCACCGAUGUCCAAUUCAUGCACACGACUGCAAGUUGUUGUGAGGUGACAAAUUCCUAACUAUUGUUAAAUGUUCGUUCUGAGUCUUUCAUCUGUCUGGCUGCCACUUGGAAAAAUACAUUGGAGCUGCUAUUUUAAAUAGCUCUUCUAUGGGACUUGCUUUUCUGCAAUACAUUGUUUUCAAUGUUUUGUUUUGUUCUGUUCUGUUUCCCCACACUGAAUACAAACCUGUGGGGGGAAAAAUCUUAUUUACAGCGAAAUUGGUCUGAAUACCUACUCAGAAUGAGAGAAUACAAGAUAGAG